rnacentral:lncRNA from 1 species
AAGAUAACUGACAUGAAAAGGGCCAUCAUGAUGCAGGCCUCUGUAAUCUACUGCCUCAAUCCGUUGUACGGGUAAAUUAAUUUGUAAGACAUAUAGUACCAUUAUUGGUUUUAGUGGUCUUAUUAUUAUGUUGCUAGAUAUCUGAACUGGCAAAAAUUGGCUUUGCUACUCAGCACUCACUCGUUCAUGCAAUUAUGGCUGAAUUUAAUAUGUCAGUGAUUUCAAUUCUUUUACAUAAUGGUUCAGACAAACAUCUCCAUUUGUGAUAAUUUGGAAGAAAUUUGUUGAAUCUCCCAAAAAGGACCAAAGAACAAUGAAGAAAAAAUGGGCUACAGUCAUUACAAAGUCACAACAAUAUUGUAAAAAUAGUUGAUCCAGCGGGGCAUCAAGCCUUACCUCUGUUUGGAGCUAAUCAAGCAGGUGGCUUUGUUCCAUGGCAUGGACGAGAUGAUCCUGUACAUCAUCUGCGCCCCUGAUAUUCUGCAGCAUGAGAAAGUGAUUAAGAGGGUGACCCGGUGCAGCGUAUGGUGUUCAUCUUGGAAGGGAAACCGAGGAGCAUGCAGCCGCUGACCAAGAGCAUGGUGCCAACGUGCGUGCUGGGUGCGGGAACUUACUCGGUAACGAGCUGCUGUUGUGGCGCCUG